CCUACGGGAGGCAGCAGUGGGGAAUUUUGGACAAUGGGCGCAAGCCUGAUCCAGCCAUGCCGCGUGCAGGAUGAAGGCCUUCGGGUUGUAAACUGCUUUUGUACGGAACGAAAAGACUCUGGUUAAUACCUGGGGUCCAUGACGGUACCGUAAGAAUAAGCACCGGCUAACUACGUGCCAGCAGCCGCGGUAAUACGUAGGGCGCGAGCGUUAAUCGGAAUUACUGGGCGUAAAGCGUGCGCAGGCGGUUAUAUAAGACAGAUGUGAAAUCCCCGGGCUCAACCUGGGAACUGCAUUUGUGACUGUAUAGCUAGAGUACGGCAGAGGGGGAUGGAAUUCCGCGUGUAGCAGUGAAAUGCGUAGAUAUGCGGAGGAACACCGAUGGCGAAGGCAAUCCCCUGGGCCUGUACUGACGCUCAUGCACGAAAGCGUGGGGAGCAAACAGGAUUAGAUACCCUGGUAGUCCACGCCCUAAACGAUGUCAACUGGUUGUUGGGUCUUCACUGACUCAGUAACGAAGCUAACGCGUGAAGUUGACCGCCUGGGGNGACGGCGCGAGUAGAACGACGAAGAGUAGUAGCGNGAGAGAGACGACGGACGACGACGAGGAGGAGGNGG
rnacentral:rRNA from 1 species